AACGAACGUUAGCGGCGCGCUUAACACAUGCAAGUCGAGCGAGAAGGGGGCAACCCCAGUAAAGCGGCGCACGGGUGAGUAACACGUAGGUAAUUUACCUCGAGGUGGUGGAUAACCUUCCGAAAGGAGGGCUAAUACAGCAUGAGACCACGUCUUCGAAAGAGGAUGAGGUUAAAGCGGGCCUCUAUACAUAAGCUCGCGCCACGAGAUGAGCCUGCGGCCCAUCAUGGUAGUUGGUAGGGUAAUGGCCUACCAAGCCGAAGACGGGUAGCUGGUCUGAGAGGAUGAUCAGCCACAUUGGAACUGAGACACGGUCCAGACUCCUACGGGAGGCAGCAGUGGGGAAUCUUGCGCAAUGGGCGAAAGCCUGACGCAGCGACGCCGCGUGAGUGAUGAAGGCCCUCGGGUUGUAAAGCUCUGUGGAGGGGGACGAAUAAGGGUUGGUGAAUAUCCAGCUCGAUGACGGUACCCCUUUAGCAAGCACCGGCUAACU
rnacentral:rRNA from 1 species